rnacentral:rRNA from 1 species
UUCCGGUUGAUCCUGCCGGAGGCUACCGCUAUUGGAGUUCGAUUAAGCCAUGCGAGUCGAGAGUCUUAGGGACUCGGCGCACCGCUCAGUAACACGUGGGUAACCUGCCCUAUGCUGGGGAAUAACCUCGGGAAACUGAGAAUAAUGCCCCAUAGCCCACUACGCCUGGAACGGUGAGUGGGUCAAAGCUCCGGCGGCAUAGGAUGGGCCUGCGCCGUAUCAGGUUGUAGGGGGUGUAAAGUACCCUCUAGCCAUCAACGCGUACGGGUGUUGGGAGACAUUGCCCGGAGAUGGAUUCUGAGACACGAAUCCAGACCCUACGGGGUGCAGCAGGCGCGAAAACUUGGCAAUGCGAGCAAUCGUGACCAGGGAACUCCAAGUGCGUAGGGUAAGACCUACGCUUUUCUUGACUCUUCAAAGGUCUUGGAAUAAGGGGUGGGUAAGGACGGUGCCAGCCGCCGCGGUAAUACCGGCGCCUCAAGUGGUAGUCGCUUUUAUUGGGCCUAAAACGUCCGUAGCCGGUCUGGUGCAUUCGUGGGUAAAUCAACCCGCUCAACGGGUUGAAUUCUGCGAGCACGGCCAGACUUGGGACCGGGAGAGGUGUGGGGUACUCUCAGGGUAGGGGUAAAAUCCUGUCAUCCUGAGAGGACCACCUGUUGCGAAGGCGCCACACUAGAACGGAUCCGACGGUCAGGGACGAAACCUAGGGGCACGAACCGGAUUAGAUACCCGGGUAGUCCUAGGUGUAAACGCUGUGGACUUGAUGUUGGGGGCGCUCCGAGCGCUUUCAGUGUCGAAGCGAAGGUGAUAAGUCCACUGCCUGGGGAGUACGGUCGCAAGGCUGAAACUUAAAGGAAUUGGCGAGGGAGCACUGCAACCUGAGGAUUGUGCGGUUUAAUUGGAUUCAACGCCGGG